UGGGGAAUAUUGGACAAUGGGCGAAAGCCUGAUCCAGCCAUGCCGCGUGUGUGAAGAAGGCCUUUUGGUUGUAAAGCACUUUAAGCGAGGAGGAGGCUACUAGUACUAAUACUACUGGAUAGUGGACGUUACUCGCAGAAUAAGCACCGGCUAACUCUGUGCCAGCAGCCGCGGUAAUACAGAGGGUGCGAGCGUUAAUCGGAUUUACUGGGCGUAAAGCGUGCGUAGGCGGCUGAUUAAGUCGGAUGUGAAAUCCCUGAGCUUAACUUAGGAAUUGCAUUCGAUACUGGUCAGCUAGAGUAUGGGAGAGGAUGGUAGAAUUCCAGGUGUAGCGGUGAAAUGCGUAGAUAUAGGAAGGAACACCAGUGGCGAAGGCGACCACCUGGGCUCAUACUGACACUGAGGUGCGAAAGCGUGGGGAGCAAACAGG
rnacentral:rRNA from 1 species